rnacentral:rRNA from 1 species
CAUAGAUAAUUUUACAACAAAAUAAUUCGCCAGAGGACUACUAGCAAUAGCUUAAAACUCAAAGGACUUGGCGGUGCUUUAUAUCCCUCUAGAGGAGCCUGUUCUAUAAUCGAUAAACCCCGAUAAACCUCACCACCCUUUGCUAAUUCAGUCUAUAUACCGCCAUCUUCAGCAAACAA